CGAUGCAGCGCCUGCGUCGGGGAGGUGUGCACAUCAUCAGCAGCAGCAAGGCGAGGACGAUAGUGACAAGCAGCCCCAGCAGGUUGAACGCCGGCUCAUCUUCUUCUUGGCUGCAACACAGCUUGCCCAUGUUAGCUGUUAGAGGGUGAGGAGGAGAUGAGUCUUGGUAGAAUGAGGAUGAAGGAGGGUGGGACUUGGCUAAAGGCUUCUUCCUUGACUUGUGGAAUUUCUUUAAGGCAACGACUGGGGAUACAGGACGCAGUCAGAUCUAUCUAUAGCAGUUAAAUUGCGGGUCGUCAACAUCAACUUGAAUUCUGGCUGUCUUACCUCAUCGGGGCUCGGCUGGCCUCUAGGUGGUUGUCCUUGCUGACCCAAGAGGGAACUAUUCAGGAGCCAUUAUCCCCCCAUCCCCCAAUAUGCUGACUAGGAUACAAAUGUUGAUUUGGUGGACGACAAAUACCAUGCACCAGGAAGUAAAGUUGUUACAAAUGAUAGGAAUGAACAUCUUCUGUGCCGUGUGAGCCAGGAAGCUCUCACUCUGAUGGCUCUUGACAUGAGCCUCUUGUGCUUGUGCAACUUCUACGUUCUCCGCUGCCUGCUCCAGGACUGCUGCCCACCGUUCCUGGCCGGGCCCUCCAUGUGAAAUACCCCUGCCCGUCCUCUGCGGUG